AAAAGUGAAUACCAGCAACAUUUUCACUGCUAAAUUUUGGCCCUUUAGGACACUUUUUAUUGCUUUGAGAUGGCUGGUAGAGCCUGUACUAAUAAUGUUAGGUCACUGUAGGGAAUUAUUAGUGGCAUCAGUAAUGGAUUUCUUUCCAUACAUUUAGGCCUACAUCUCGACUAACAUCGAGGAUAUCAAUUACAUGUAAUCAUGCCAUUGCAUCCUGACUGUUAGCGUUCCCUCACGUGACGCCCUUGAAAAAAAUUGCCAAAACCCCACAUAAACAUUUUGAGAAGUUCUGUAAACAUGAUAAUUUCUAUUAUUAUCUCAAUUUACAUACACUUAAAGGUUUGUUGGAAAAUUAUUUUAAAUUUUUGGGCAGGUUUAGAAGUGUGUAUUUUGCAUCAAAGGAAAAAAAAAUGGGAAAAAUAAGCCAAAAUAAAUAUUUCAUUGGAAAGUUGUAGAGGGUGAGUUAAAUCAGGAGUUUUGAGAUUGAUGUUGCUCCAGCAAGGCACUGGAGGCAAAAAAAAAUCAAACUGCGCCAAAGUUAGGGGGCGUACAGUUAGGGAGCUUCAACAAUAAAUGAAGGAUGUUGCUGUGAUAACAGUAACAGCUGAAGGGAUGCAUUGUCUUUGUUUUUAUUGUAGGAGGAAGUCAUUAAGAGAAGUUAACACGUAGAGUCAGUGAUGACAUCUGUAUUUUAUCUCCUUUUUGUUCUUCUCAAGAAGCGGGAUUAAGAGACUCAAGUUCCAGUGAGGACCCAAGUGACAGCCACUCUGACAGUGAUGAGGAGCAAGAAAAGUGGCUGGAGAAAAUAGCAGGUGUUAAAGGUGAUAGCAGCGUGAUUGGUUCCCUGCCCCUGGGCUAAUCUUCUGGCAUCACUGGCCUGAUAGAGUAAGGUGAUAGCAGCAUGGUUGGUCCCCUACCUGUGGGCUCAU